rnacentral:misc_RNA from 1 species
GGAAGUAAAGGUCGUAACAAGGUUUCCGUAGGUGAACCUGCGGAAGGAUCAUUAUUGUAUAACCGAGGUGCGAGGGCUGUCGCUGACCCGAAAGGUCGUGCACGCCCGAGUGCCCUCACACACAUCCAUCUCACCCCUAUGUGCACUACCGCGUGGGUCCCCCUUUGGCUUGUUCGGAGGGGGGCUUACGUUUUCACACAAACUUUGUAUGCAGUGUAGAAUGUAUUUUUUGUUUUUGCGAUCACGCAAUCAAUACGACUUUCAACAACGGAUCUCUUGGCUCUC